rnacentral:lncRNA from 1 species
CCUCCUUCCUGCUCAGCCCAAAGGCAGGAGUCAUGGAACCCCAGGAAAGGACGGAACAGAACAGGACAGGGCCCCCAGCCCCAUCUUUAUCUCACCGGCUGCUGCUGGCUGCCAAGCCUCCCCUGAAUGGGGGAGGGUGGUCUGUGUGAGUCAGCGGAGGCACGAAGUGGAGGAAGACGGGAGCCUCUGCCAGGCCCGUUGAGCGUGGCCUCAGAAAUGCGCCGCUGGGUUAGGGUCUCCCCGACCGAGGCUCGAAUCCAGGUCGAAGGGUCGCCGGAGCGAUGGUUGGAGAAUGUGGAAGGAGCUGGAGGACACCCGAGUAUUCUUAAAGCAAUCCCCAUGGCCAGAUGUCAUCAGCAGCUGAACAGCAUUCCAGAAACCAGCUGCAAAGACAGAAGCAGAACAACUGGUUUGGUGGAGAGAUCUGAUAACAAAAAGUUGGGAAACAGAUGCUGAGGAAGAGACUCCGGGAGGAUCCCGAGGACGGCCCAGUUGCAGCCAUGUUGAGACUGACGCUGAGGAGGACCCCAACUGUCACGAGCAACACCUGUCGAACACAGCCACCCACCUGGGGACAGAUCAAGAAGCUGUCACAGAUGGCAGAAGAAAACCUGAGGAAAGCGGGACAACCAGUCACAAUGAGUAAUUUCAUGGUAGCUAUGAUAGCAGUUAUCACCACUGCUUCUGCAGAUGUGGAUCCUAACUCCUGCGAGAAGUAACUCACAGUGACAAAGCUGCCUUUGCUUUUAUCGAGUUGCAAAUCAAAGAAGGGGGGACAUGUUGGGAACAGGCCCCCCAAGAUCUGGCCAUAAACUGGCCCCAAAACUGGCUAUAAACAAAAUCUGCAGCACUGUGACACGUUCAUGAUGGCCGUGACGCCCACGCUGGAAGGUUGUGGGUUUACCGGAAUGAGGGCAAGGGACACCUGGCCCACCCAGGGCGGAAAACCGCUUAAAGGCGUUCUUAAACCACAAACAAUAGCCUGAGUGAUCUGUGCCUUAAAGACACACUCCUGCUGCAGAUAACUAACCAGACCCACCACUUUACUUCGGCCCAUCCCUUCAUUUCCCAUAAGGGAUACUUUUAGUUAAUCUAUUAUCUAUAGAAACAAUGCUAAUGACUGACUUACUAUUAAUAAAUAUGUGGGUAAACCUCUGUUGGGGCUCUCAGCUCUGAAGGCUGUCAGACCCCUGAUUUCCCACUUCGCACCUCUGAA